rnacentral:tRNA from 1 species
GGGGAAUUAGCUCAGUGGUAGAGCGCUUGCUUAGCAUUACUGAUUGCAUGAGGCCGUGGGUUCAAUUCCCACAUUCUCCA